UGAAUUGUUUUAUUUGUGUGUAGGGCAUUUUCAGUCACAAUUUUCUCAUUAUUAGGCAAAGGAAGUCCCACUGUGUCAGUGUCUACUCAAGGAGAAGGCAGCACACCCAGGGGACAAGACACUGCAGCUGUAAGCCCAGGAACCUCAGGUUCAACGGGGGCAUCUGCGGGAACCAGCUCAGGAGCAGGCAAGAGAAGCUCACCUGAAACACCAGGCUCUGGGACCACAAGCUCUGUUAUAUCAACAGGUUAGACAGCGCAUCUU
rnacentral:lncRNA from 1 species